rnacentral:rRNA from 1 species
AUUCCAGCUCCAAUAGCGUAUAUUAAAGUUGUUGCAGUUAAAAAGCUCGUAGUUGGAUUUCUGGUGUGAGUGGUCGGUUCGACCUUUUGGUGGAUACUUGACCAUCUCACACCAUCCUUGGGUCUAGCCUCGCUGGUAUUAAGUUACCGGCGUGUGCGAUACCCAUCGUUUACUGUGAACAAAAUAGAGUGCUCUAAGCAGGCUUAUGCCGUUGAAUAUAUUAGCAUGGAAUAAUAAGAUAGGACUUUGGUGCUAUUUUGUUGGUUUGCGCAUCUUUGUAAUGAUAAAAAGGGACAGUUGUGGGUAUUUGUAUUUUAGUGUAAGAGGUGAAAUUCUUAGAUUACUAAAAGACAAACGAAUGCGAAAGCAUUUACCAAGGAUGUUUUCAUCA